rnacentral:rRNA from 1 species
UACAGAGGGUGCGAGCGUUAAUCGGAAUUACUGGGCGUAAAGCGUGCGCAGGCGGUUAUGUAAGACAGGUGUGAAAUCCCAGGGCUUAACCUUGGAACUGCAUUUGUGACUGCAUAGCUAGAGUACGGUAGAGGGGGAUGGAAUUCCGCGUGUAGCAGUGAAAUGCGUAGAUAUGCGGAGGAACACCGAUGGCGAAGGCAAUCCCCUGGACCUGUACUGACGCUCAUGCACGAAAGCGUGGGGAGCAAACAGG